rnacentral:lncRNA from 1 species
CUUAAACGAGCCCUCGAGGCCUAAAUUUACGCAUUAGAAACACAUAAGGACUAAGUCGAAAACUCAGAAAAAUUUUCAAAAAUAUUUAAAGUUUCCAACACUGUAGGGGUCACACAGCCAUGUUUCAGCUUGUGUCUGUACCCGUGUGAGUAUACUGACUUGGGCCACACGCCCGUGUGCUAGGCCGUGUGAGCAUUCUAUUUGUGCAAAUUUAAGACACAGAGGACAUACGGCCGUGUCACCUGGCUGUGUGUCACACACGGUUGAGACACAUGCCCGUGUGGAUGAAAAUAAGCCAUUUUACAAGCCAUAUUUCUCACCCAAUUUUGUGUCUAUCUACAAUCAACAUUACACAUAUCAACAAGGCAUAAUUAGACGUUCAAAACAAGCCAAAAUAAGUCGCUAAACUCAACACAUUACAUAUAAGGCAUCAUUAGACAAAAUACCUAUACAUGCCAUUAUAACCAAAAUCAAAAUAUUCGAAAAUACCGAUAAAACCGAUGGAUAGUGUGAUAUAUCUACCACAAGCUUCCAACCUAAUCGAGCUUCCGGUAAUCUGAAAAGUAGAAGAAAACAAAUACAUAAGCAAUGAAUGCUUAGUAAGCUCAUAUAAACUUUAAUCAUAAUACUUCCUUUUCAAAUAUGAAAUUUAUACUUAUCAAGAAAAAUCUAAUAUUGCUACCACAAUACUCAUGAAGUUAUAUUUAACAACUCACUAAGUGAAUAAAGCUACAGUAUCACUUAUACAUAAUAUUCCUAGCAUAGUAGGAUUUUAAACAACUUUAACUCUUCCAAAAUUUCUUUAUUUUCAUUUGCGUUUCUUUACUUUCCACACUCAUUCCAUAUGCAUAACACACAAGUCAUAAGCACAUCAUUCAACCAUAGAUACAGGCUAGUACAUUUAAACAUAGUCCUUUUUCGAAUUAAUCACACGAUAACUCAUUUUAUAAGAAAUUGCAUAACUUAAAAUUUACCACUCUUUCAUGAACACAAGUAUAUUUUCACUUGAGCACUUACCCUUUCAACGCAUCAUAUAAUAAACAUAUUACCAUUUAACCAGUAACUUGGCACUUGUCUAAGCGUCAACAACAGCACUUGUUAGUAUACUUGAACAUAUUUCAUAUUUCAUAACCAGAAGGGUUCCGGACCUUUCUGGGACCAUGUUCUUGAUUACUGGAAACAAUCAACGGCAAACCAAACAAGGCCUUGUUCCUCAAAUACGAAGAAAUGAAAGGAAACCCAGUGGGUCAAAUAAAAAAGAUGGCGGAGUUCAUGGGAUGUCCGUUCUCAGAGGAGGAAGAGAAAGCGGGUGCCAUUGAUGAAAUAGCCGAGUUCUACAGCUUGAGCAACCUCAAGAACCUGGAAGUGAACAAAAGCGGCAGCCUCAAAACCAUGAAACGACAAACCAACUCUUUCUUCAGGAAAGCUGAGGCGGGUGAUUACGUUAAUAUUCUGAGCCCAUCGGCGGUGGAACGUUACAGUAAGAUCGUGGAUGGAAAACUCAGCGGUUCCGGUUUAAC